rnacentral:tRNA from 1 species
CGUGCGGCGGCGGGGCCUUGCGCAUGAGCUUUUGGAGGAGCGCGUCGGCGAGGGCGAGACGGCGCAUCGUGCGAUACGCGAUGUCUUGCGUC